rnacentral:ncRNA from 1 species
AUAAAUGCGAAGAGUAGGAAAGUACAUGUGAACCGUUUUCUUCAGAGAGGGUGCGAUUGGUGAGACGUGCCUGGAAACAGCAGAUGGAAGUCCCCUAUGAGCAGUUUCUGUGAAAUAAGAGUAGCAGGAACCGGUGAAGACCGUUACCAAAUCAUGAAGAUGUAAUGCUCUUUAGCAUUCAUAAAUAAAGGUGGUACCACGAGCUCCUUCGUCCUUUUA